AUCGUAACUCCUACGGGAGGCAGCAGUGGGGAAUAUUGCACAAUGGGCGGAAGCCUGAUGCAGCGACGCCGCGUGAGGGAUGACGGCCUUCGGGUUGUAAACCUCUUUCAGUAGGGAAGAAGCGAGAGUGACGGUACCUGCAGAAGAAGCGCCGGCUAACUACGUGCCAGCAGCCGCGGUAAUACGUAGGGCGCAAGCGUUGUCCGGAAUUAUUGGGCGUAAAGAGCUCGUAGGCGGUUUGUCGCGUCUGCUGUGAAAGCCCGGGGCUCAACCCCGGGUCUGCAGUGGGUACGGGCAGACUAGAGUGCAGUAGGGGAGACUGGAAUUCCUGGUGUAGCGGUGAAAUGCGCAGAUAUCAGGAGGAACACCGAUGGCGAAGGCAGGUCUCUGGGCUGUUACUGACGCUGAGGAGCGAAAGCAUGGGGAGCGAACAGGAUUAGAUACCCUUGUAGUCCUAGAGC
rnacentral:rRNA from 1 species